GGGGUUGUGGCUCAGAGGUACAGUGCUUGUCUAGUAUGUGUGAGGCACUGAGUUCAAUCCUCAGCACCACA
rnacentral:tRNA from 1 species